UACAGAGGGUGCGAGCGUUAAUCGGAAUUACUGGGCGUAAAGCGCGCGUAGACGGCUUUGCAAGUCGGGUGUGAAAUCCCCAGGCUUAACCUGGGAACUGCAUUCGAGACUGCAUUGCUAGAGUAUGGGAGAGGGAAGUGGAAUUUCCGGUGUAGCGGUGAAAUGCGUAGAUAUCGGAAGGAACAUCAGUGGCGAAGGCGGCCUCCUGGAUCGAUACUGACGCUGAGGCGCGAAAGCGUGGGGAGCAAACAGG
rnacentral:rRNA from 1 species